rnacentral:rRNA from 1 species
GUGGGGGAUAUUGCACAAUGGGGGAAACCCUGAUGCAGCGACGCCGCGUGUGGGAAGACGGUCCUCUGGAUUGUAAACCACUGUCCCCAGGGACGAAGAUGACGGUACCUGGGGAGGAAGCUCCGGCUAACUACGUGCCAGCAGCCGCGGUAAUACGUAGGGAGCGAGCGUUGUCCGGAAUUACUGGGUGUAAAGGGAGCGUAGGCGGGACUGCAAGUUGGGUGUCAAAUCUACCGGCUCAACCGGUAGCCGCACUCAAAACUGCAGUUCUUGAGUGAAGUAGAGGCAGGCGGAAUUCCUAGUGUAGCGGUGAAAUGCGUAGAUAUUAGGAGGAACACCAGUGGCGAAGGCGGCCUGCUGGGCUUUUACUGACGCUGAGGCUCGAAAGUGUGGGGAGCAAACAGG